rnacentral:lncRNA from 1 species
CCGGCAUCCUCCUCCUUUGUCUUUAGCUGAAGAUGGUAUUUAAGAUGAGAGCCUCCACCAUUUUGGACUCUUGGACCUUGCAGGAUGUGGCUGUAUACGUCACCAAAGGCGAAUGGAGUUGCUGUACCAGGGUCAGAGGGCUGUCUUUAGAGAAUGUCAUGCUGGAGAAUUACAGGAACACGGUUUUACUGGCUAAGGAUUCUGCCAUCUAGAGAGGAGGCCUUUUGAGUUUCUGUUGUAAUUAAUAUUUAUUGCUUUAAGAACCACAACUCUUAAUUUAGCCAUAUUUUGAGUGUAAGUUCCAUUUUGUUGAUGUUAGUGGGGAGGGGAUGGGGUAUACACUGGGCUGCAAAGAAAAAGGAGAGGCUGUGAGUAAUGAUCCAGGUCUUUUAACCAGAGUUGCCCCAAUAAGGGACACGUUCUAACUGGGUAACUUUGGAUGCGAGCAGGUCAGUUUGUCUUAAGCUUGGCUAACUAGUAAUCAACCCAAACAGAGAUAUAUUGACGUUCUAAUUUUAGUUCAAUGUAAAAUAUUUAUUUCAUGAUAGGUUUUUUACAUGGGUUUUUUUUUUUCAUCUUUUUGGCUUUGCUGUGUUUAUAGAUGUCUUUUUAUUAUGGUAGCUGCUGCUUCCUUUUUUGCUCUGUUAAACAUUUCAAGCAUAAAAUUGGAAAAAAAAAAAAAGAUCCUUGGAUAUUUGAAAGUAGGUAAAACUGAAAACGGUUCCUAAAAGGAUAGUUAACGCUCAAAAAGGGAUAAGCUCUGUAUGUCUGUUACUGAAACA